rnacentral:rRNA from 1 species
AUUGAACGCUGGCGGCAGGCCUAACACAUGCCAGUCGAACGGUAACAGGAAGGAGCUUGCUUCUUUGCUGACGAGUGGCGGACGGGUGAGUAAUGUCUGGGAAACUGCCUGAUGGAGGGGGAUAACUACUGGAAACGGUAGCUAAUACCGCAUAACGUCGCAAGACCAAAGAGGGGGACCUUCGGGCCUCUUGCCAUCGGAUGUGCCCAGAUGGGAUUAGCUAGUAGGUGGGGUAACGGCUCACCUAGGCGACGAUCCCUAGCUGGUCUGAGAGGAUGACCAGCCACACUGGAACUGAGACACGGUCCAGACUCCUACGGGAGGCAGCAGUGGGGAAUAUUGCACAAUGGGCGCAAGCCUGAUGCAGCCAUGCCGCGUGUAUGAAGAAGGCCUUCGGGUUGUAAAGUACUUUCAGCGGGGAGGAAGGGAGUAAAGUUAAUACCUUUGCUCAUUGACGUUACCCGCAGAAGAAGCACCGGCUAACUCCGUG